rnacentral:rRNA from 1 species
CGGCCCACCAAGGCGACGAUCAGUAGCCGGCCUGAGAGGGUGAACGGCCACAUUGGGACUGAGACACGGCCCAGACUCCUACGGGAGGCAGCAGUGGGGAAUAUUGCACAAUGGGGGAAACCCUGACGCAGCAACGCCGCGUGAUUGAAGAAGGCCUUCGGGUUGUAAAGAUCUUUAAUCAGGGACGAAAAUGACGGUACCUGAAGAAUAAGCUCCGGCUAACUAC